rnacentral:rRNA from 1 species
AAUUGUUCAGGAGGAGAGCUAUUGUGUUAACUGGGGCUAAUCCCCAAUAGAUAUGGAGGCCUGGAAUGGUUCCAUAUUCAAAUGCAUAACAACCAUGUUUGUUAUGUGCCAAAGGAUGGGGCUGCGGCUGAUCAGGCAGUUGGUGAGGUAACGGCUCACCAAACCUUUGACCAGUACGGGCCGUGAAAGCGGUAGCCCGGAGAUGGGUACUGAGACAAGGACCCAGGCCCUACGGGGCGCAGCAGGCGCGAAAACUCCACAAUGUACGCAAGUACGAUGGGGUUACCUUGAGUGCAGUCUGAAAAAGGUUGCUUUUCCAUAGAGUAAUAUCCUAUGGGAAUAAGAGGGGGGCAAGACUGGUGUCAGCCGCCGCGGUAACACCAGCCCCUCGAGUGGUGGGGACUUUUAUUUGGCCUAAAGCGUCCGUAGCUGGCUGUUUCCGUCCCCCGUUAAAUCCAGCGUCUCAAGCGUUGGACUGCGGGUGAUACCAAACAGCUAGAGGGUGGGAGAGGUCAGCGGUAUUUCUGGGGUAGGGGCGAAAUCCUUUGAUCCCAGGAGGACCACCAGUGGCGAAGGCUGCUGACUAGAACACGCCUGACGGUCAGGGACGAAAGCUGGGGCAGCGAACCGGAUUAGAUACCCGGGUAGUCCCAGCUGUAAACGAUGCUCGCUAGGUGUUGGGUCGGCCAUGCGCCGCCCCAGUGCCGCAGGGAAGCCGUUAAGCGAGCCGCCUGGGGAGUACGGUCGCAAGACUGAAACUUAAAGGAAUUGGCGGGGGAGCAC